rnacentral:lncRNA from 1 species
AUUCCAGAGCCCGCCCAGCUGAGCUUGUGCAGAGGACCCCGGGUGAGAGGUGACACUCAGGCCUCCAAGAAGACCACUCUGGGGACGCUGGCAAAGAUAGGCCUUUCCUGCUGAGCCAGGCCUAUCUGCACAGCCUGCUCAGGCGCUGUCCACGGCCCGAGGCCGGGGCUCAAGCAGAAGGUUCUCCACAGUACCCACAGCUGAUAGCCAGCAACGGGCAAAGCCCCCAGGCACGGGGGCCCUCUCUCUCCCAGAGAUCUCCAGUGUGACAGCCCAGGCGGCAGAGCCGAGGGUCCUGGUCCCGGCUUCUCGCACCCUCAUGUCAGCCCCGGCCCCGCCCGGAGGC